rnacentral:rRNA from 1 species
CCUACGGGAGGCAGCAGUGGGGAAUAUUGGGCAAUGGGCGCAAGCCUGACCCAGCAACGCCGCGUGAAGGAAGAAGGCUUUCUGGUUGUAAACUUCUUUUGACAGGGAAGAGUAGAAGACGGUACCUGUCGAAUAAGCCACGGCUAACUACGUGCCAGCAGCCGCGGGAAUACGUAGGUGGGAAGUGUUGUCCGGAUUUACUGGGUGUAAAGGGCGUGUAGCCGGGUUGACAAGUCCGAUGUGAAAUCCAGCGGCGUAAACGCAGAACUGCAUUUGAAACUGUUGAUCUUGAGUACUGGAGAGGCAGACGGAAUUCCUGGUGUAGCGGUGAAAUGCGUAGAUAUUAGGAGGAACACCAGUGGCGAAGGCGGUCUGCUGGACAGCAACUGACGGUGAGGCGCGAAAGCGUGGGGAGCGAACAGGAUUAGAUACCCCAGUAGUC